rnacentral:tRNA from 1 species
GCCAAGGUAGCUCAGCUGGUAGAGCAGCUCACUCGUAAUGAGCAGGUCGUGGGUUCGAGUCCCAUCCUUGGCU